rnacentral:lncRNA from 1 species
AUUCCAGGCUGUGGAUCCGGUCGUGGGAAGCAGGCUGGUCUCCAACUUCUGGCUGCAAGUGAUCCUCCCUCCUUGGCCUGGCAAAGUGCUGGGAUUACAGGGCCGCACACAUACAGAGCUGAACUUGUAUCGCCGUGUAGAUGAAGACAAACACCUUUAGGAGAUGGCAGAGAAACAAAAUGGGAAACCCUCAGGUCUCCAAAUGACUACACCAAGCAGAAUUGCCCCACCAGCCUGCACCAUUCAUUUCUAGACUAUGAGCAAGAAGUACACUUCCAUCUUAUUUAAACAACCAUAUUUGGGGUUUUUGUUGUUGUUAUUGUUGUUGUUAUAGGAGCUUAGCUUUUACUCUAAGAAAUACAGCUACUCAACUCACUUCAUUAGGAUCUUAACUAUAAUAUCAAAACCUCCUAAGCACAGAAUAAAAAAUACAGUAGAGCAAUAUCAUUUAUGAUCAUAGAUGCAGAGCUUCCAAAUGAAAUACUAGCAUAUUCAAGGAAAGAUAUAUAUACCAUGACCUAGUUGUGUUUAAUUUCUGGAAUUCAAAAAUGGAAUGUUUGACAUAAGAAAAUCUAUUAGGCCGGGCGCGGUGGCUCACGCCUGUAAUCCCAGCACUUUGGGAGGCCGAGGCAGGCAGAUCACGAGGUCAGGAGAUCGAGAUCAUCCUGGCUAAUACGGUGAAACCCCGUUUCUACUAAAAAAUACAAAAAAAAAAUAUUAGCUGGGAGUGGUGGCGGGCGCCUGUAGUCCCAGCUACUUGGGAGGCUGAGGCAGGAGAAUGGCGUGAACCCGGGAGGCAGAGCUUACAGUGAGCUGAGAUCGUGCCACUGCACUCCAGCCUGGGUGACAGAGCGAGACUCUGUCUCAAAAAAAAAAAAAAAAAGAAAAAAGAAAACAGUUUGGCAGUUCCUCAAAAAGUUAAACAUAGGAUGUUUGAAAAUUUAAACGUAAUAUGACCUAGCAAUUCAACCCCAGGUAUACAACCAAGAGAAUUGAAAACAGGUGUUCAAACAAAAACUUGUACAGGAUUGCUCAUAGCAGCAUUAUUUAUAAUAGCCAAAAGGAAGAAACUACUCAAAUGUCCAUCAGCUGAUGAAUGGAUAAACAAAAUAUGGUGUAUUUCUACAAUGGACUAUUAUUCAAUCAUAAAAAAUGAAAUGCUGAUAAAUGCCAAAAUUGACGAACUUUUAAAACAUGCUAAGUGGCUGGGUGGGGUGGCUCUAGUCCGUAAUCCCGGCAUGUUAAGAGGCCGAGGUGGGCGGGUCACUUGAGCCUGGGAGGUCGAGGCUGCAGAGAGCUGAGAUCGCGCUACUGCACUCUAGCCUGGGUGACAGAGCAGACCCUGUCUCAGAAAGAAAAGAAAAAACAGAAAAGAGAAAGAAGACAGGAGAGGAGAGAAGGGGAGGGGAGGGGAGGGGAAUGGAGAGGGGGAGGGGAGGGGAGGGGAAGGGGGAGGGAAGGGGAGGGGAGGGGAACAUCCUGGCCGGGUGCAGUGGCUCACGCCUGUAAUCCUAGCACUUUGGGAGGCCAAGGUGGGCGGAUUGCCUGAGCUCAGGAGUUCGAGACCAGCCUGGGCAACACGGUGAAACCCCGUCUCUACUAAAAUACAAAAAAAUUAGUUGGGCGUGGCGAUGUAUACCUGUAGUCCCAGCUACUCAGGAUGCUGAGGCAGAAGAAUUGCUUGAACCCAGGAGGUUGAGGUUGCAGUGACGCGAGAUUGCACCACUGCACUCCAGCCUGGGUGACAGAGUGAGACUCUCUCCCAAAAAAAAAAAAAAAGAAAAGAAAAGAAAAGAACAU